ACUAAAUGAUGAAACGCCUUCUAAGUAGUAACCAAGCAAAGAAUAAUGAGAUCAUGCAACGACUUAGAAAACAAAGAAUGCACAGAUUUUAACUCUCCAAAUAAACGUUUAGGCUCAAGUCUCACAAGGUUGUAGCGUUAGUUUGAGUUCCUUCCUUCAAGCAUGUUACAAAAACUGAUUUUUUUCUUUUAUGAUUGCAUGUGAAUUCAUAAGUUAUAACCACAACUAAGCAUACACAAAGAGUAAAUCAAACUUUCAUCCAUGUUAAUCACUCUCUUUAACAGCCAUGUAAUUACAAACCGAAUCCUCAUCAUUGUGUUGGAAGGUACCCUAAGACACAAACAAACACACAAAAACAACUCUUUUUGGGUUUUUAAAACAAAUUUUUCAAAUUUUUAUGUAAUUUUCGGAUUUUUACUUCAAAACACAUUAAAACACAUCAAAACUGCUCAAAAACACUUAAAAACAGCAAGGAACAAGUCUUCAAGUUUAGGGUGAUAAAAUCCCACGAAUUUGCAUCUAAAACACUUAGUUACCCCCCCACACUUAAAUCAAACAUUGUCCUCAAUGUUUCAAGCAUAAAAUCACACUAAAAAAAAAGAAACACACAAACAGCAACUAAAACAACUAAAUAGGCAGAUUCGAAAUAAAUAACAAAGGGAAGAGUUUAGGAACGCAAAUCUGGAAUUGGAGUGAUUCCUUGGUCUUCCUUUGUUGAAUUGCAUGGGUUGCCUCCCAAGUAGCGCUUUCUUUUACGUCUUGCAGCCGGACGAAAAACACAAUCAUGCCCUAUUGGAGCCCACGGCACUCUCAUACAUUGCAUCUUUGAACGGUAAUGGAUAGUGAUGUUCGUUGAUGGGUGCGUUGUGUUGCCUAAGGUUCACGUACAUGCGCCCACCAUCGGGGAUUUGCUUGGGUACCUGCACCAUAGAAGGGAACCACCUCUUAAUUUUAAUGGGAAUUGGAUUUGGACUAGGUGCCUUACCUUGGUGUUGUGAUGAAGUGGCAGCAACAUGAACUGUUUUCCUCAUGGUAUUCUCGGCCACAUGGGGUAUCUUAAGGGCAGUGGCCGUGGGGUCCUCAUGCUCCACUCCAAUUCCCUCAUCUUGCAUGGUUCUUGAAGCAACCUUUGUGUUAGGGGCUGAAUGAUCCGUCCCUAUCUUUUCUAUCGUAUCAAUAACACAACAAGAACGAACAACGUUAGGAGUCUCAAUGGAUUCAGGAAUUUUAAAACAAAUCAUAUCACCACCAAAUGCCAUAGUUACUUCUCCUUUGGCUACAUCAAUCUUGGUUUGAGCCGUUUUCAUGAAAGGCCGUCCAAGGAGAAUGGGCAAUGAAGGAGCAUGGUCCGAUUCAUCCAUUUCGAGGACAUAGAAAUCCGCCGGGAAGACUAAAUGAUUAACCUGCACAAGAACAUCUUCCAAAACUCCCUUUGGAUAGGCGUUAGAUCUAUCAGCCAAUUGUAUUAUUACACCAUCCUGUUUAAGUGCUCCUAGAUUCAUAGAUGCAUAAACAGAAUAUGGCAUAACAUUAAUAGAUGCUCCUAAAUCUAGCAUGGCAGAUUUGAAACGGGUAUUACCAAUGACACAUGGAAUUGUAAAGCUCCCCGGAUCUUUGCAUUUGGGGGGUAGUUUACGUUGCAAGAUGGCGGAGACAUUCUCGCUUACAUGUACCACUUCUUUCUCCCGGGCACGUUUCUUUGUCGCACAAAGCUUCUUUAAACACUUGGCAUACUUCGGGAUUUGCUUUAUUGCAUCAAGGAGGGGAAUGUUGACAUUGCACCUUUCCUAAACGUCUCUAGAACAUCUUUUUCCUCCUCUUCGUUCUUGGAUUGCAAAAAUCUACUAGGAAAGGGGACAUUCAAAGGAAAAACAUUAGUAGGACUUGAAUUUAACACAUUCUUACCCUUAUUGGACAGAUUUGCAGGUUUAGGGUCAUUGGAGGCUUGCGGCAAAGGUGGAACCACCCUUGCCGUGGGUUGCUUUGAUUCCUCCUCUUCCAUUUGCAAAAUUUCAUCCUCGUUAUGACCUGUUUUUGAUGAAGAACCUGCCCCAACUUCUUUUCCACUCCUUAGCAUGAUUGCAUUUGCGGUUUCAAAGCCUCCUUUUGGAUUCGCAAUGGUUGAACUAGGAAGCUUUCCUUGUUCUCUAAACUGCCCAACAAACUCGGCAAUCUGCCCAAUUUGUUUCUCAAGUUGAUCCACCCUUUUGUCUUGGAUUUGCAUAGCCUUAGCUUGAUCUUCCUGUCCAUUAGACAACUUAGUUAGUAUCUUAAGAAGUGCAUCAUUGUCAAGAGACGUACCUGAGGCACUUGGGCCGGAUUGGGCUUGAUUUUGGGGUGGGCCGUAGGUUUUGGGAAAGAACCCCGGGGGUUGUUGCCUAAAGCCUCCUUGGUUCUGAGGUUGCUGGGGCUCCCUCCAUUUGAAGUUUGGAUGGUCCCGCCACCCCGGAUUAUACGUGUUGGAGUAUGGAUCAUGCCUUGACUGAUUUUGGCUUUGAAACCCAAUGGCAUUCGCACUCUCCCAUUCGCCAUUCUCGAUGAGUUGAGGACAUUUUUCGGAGACAUGUCCUUGGAUAGAACAUACGCCACACACCACAGGUCCUUGUAUCUUCAUUCCCUCGGCCAUCUGUGAAACAAUAGAAGUAAGAUUAGCCAAUUGUGAAUGAAGAUCGGAAGUUGAACUUACCUCAUGUACUUGGUGCCGUGGGGGUCCCCUUUGGCCUACACCCUCGUAUUGUUGAGCGUUCAACGCUCUAUUAGCAAUCAAGACCUUGGCAGCCAUGGGUGUUUUGUCCACUAAUGCCCCCCCCGCCGAAGCAUCAAGCAUUUGACGUUCUAGAGGUAAUAGACCCUCGUAGAAAUAUUGCAAAAGCAACUCCUCCUUCAUCUGAUGCUGUGGACAAGAAGCAACAAGUGAUUUAAAUCGUUCAUAAUAUGUAGAGAAAGACUCACCUUCUUCUUGCUGAAUUCCGCUUAUCUUUUUGCGUAGGAGGAUGAUGCGAGAAGUUGGAAAGAACUUCUCCAAGAACGCUCUCUUCAUACUCUCCCAAGAAGUGACAGUGCCGGGAGCUAACUCAUAUAACCAAUCCUUGGCUUUAUCCAUCAAAGAGAAUGGAAAAGCCUUCAUCUUCAAGAUAUUUCCGUCAACAUUGACGGGAGUCAUACUAGAGCAAACUACUUCAAAUUCUUUCAAAUGUUUGUUAGGAUCUUCCAUGGACAAGCCAUGGUAUUUAGGAAUAUGAUGAAGCAAACUUGACUUUAAUUCAAACUCAUCCGUCUUACCUUGGGCAGCCGCGGGGUAUUGGAUGCACAAGGGUGUGCGGCAUUAUCCAAACCCGAGGCGGAAAGCUCCUUGAGUGUACGAUUGUCCAUGGCCAUGCCUUGGACUUCUUCAAAUAUCCCUGCCGUGGCUUCCUCCUCCUCUUCUUGUAUGUUUUCUUCAAGGUCAGAUUCGGAAUUGAGUGGAGGGUGUUCUUGCUGAUUUCUAGCUCUUCUCAAAUUCCUCUCAAAAUCGUCGUCAAAAUCCAAGAUGUUCACACGAAUCGGUUGAGAGCUUCUAGUCAUACAUUAGUACCUAAGAACAAGAAACAAAAUUAGGUCAGAAACUUAAACAAAGUCAGAAACAAAGUGAAAUAAAAGAAACAAAAACAAUCCAAGGGAUUAGCAAAAUUGCUAAUCCCCGGCAACGGCGCCAAAAAUUUGAUGUGAAAAUUAACUUGACACACAAAUUAAACCCUCUUUUUGUCAAAUUGUAGCAAAGAUGUAAGUAGGGAUCGUUCUAGACCGGGGAUUAGGAGGGAUUGCUAAACGCUUGGAAACUGACUUAAACACUCAAAAACAAAGUUAAAAACACUAAACUAGACUCAAAGAAUGCAAAACUAAAAGUUAAAACACUUAAACAAACCUAAAAACCAAAACAGCAACUAGAAGGCUCAAAACUGCCUAAAAACCACUUUCUGGGCAGUUUUGAGCACCUACACUAAUUUGGACGAAAUUUGAUGAAAACUUGAAUCAAAAUACUUAGAAACACAAAUCAAAACACUUUCUAACUAAUCUAAGACUUCAAAUUAAAGGGGGAUUUGUUUUGGACGAAAAUUAAACUAAAGAAAACAGAUUGGAAAUAGGGCAGAUUGUAAAAACGAUUUUGGUGAAAUAGAUGGUUAAAAGGCUAGUUAGGAGGUUCUUCUCCACACAUGUCACACUUGCAAACAAAACGAUUUUCAGUUGUUCUUCCGAUAAACUUAUGAAUACUCAACGCCCCAAGUUAACCGUGAAUUACACUAAUUAACCCUCAGUUUUUCCACAAGUUAUUAAGUUGGAUGAUUGCAUAUGACAACCCAAAACAUUCCCUACAAGUUCCCUACAUGAAUUGCAUAAUAGAGAUACAAGCAAGAAUCAUUACGUUCUAUGAAAAAACAUAAGCAUUGACGAAGCAUUUGUUACUAUGAAUUGCAUGAAACUUAUGCUAAGAAUUCAUUCAACGCGAUCGUUUUCAAGCGAUCUUCACUACUUGUGAUUAUAAGAUUGUAACUAUUAGGUGAAACUCCCUCAUAAUCUAGCAUCAUAUUCAUGCAUGAAAACUAAGCGUGCACUCUCAAUCAACAUACACAAAUAAGUUUAUCAAUCAAAUAGAUGAACGAAUUGAAUCCAUAACUUAUGAAAUAACAACUGAAUGUAAUCGAAUCAAAUUGCAAGCAUGUACAUGGUUUCGAAUCACCCCCCAACUAAGGGGGUUUAGUUCCUCAUACUCACAACACAAAGUUUAUUGAAUUGAAACAUCGAAGACAUAAGAAAGAUUACACCUAAAAUGCCAAAGAAUUCCACUUUGAAUUCUGCACAGCAAGCUCCUCUUUCUUCUUCUCCUUGCUGCGGCAGAGAGGGUUUAGGGGAUUUUUGGGUAGUUUUGGAUGAUUUUGGACGAGGGAGAAUGGUGGAAAAUGUCUAGGAUGGGUGUAGGGCACGGCUAGGAAGGUUUGGGGUCAGAAAAUAUGGAGUUGGGUGAAGGUUGGGCUCGGCAAAGGUGAGGGACAGGUUCUGGCGUGAAUGGAGUUUUCUGGAUGUGUUUUUGGGUUUUUGAAAGGUAGAUAGGAUAGUAUGGUGGUGCGGCAAGGUGUGUGGAAUGGUUUAUGGAGGUGGAGAAUGGUGUAUGGAUGUGUGGAAUGGUGCUGGAAUGGAUGGAAGCUGCGGCAAAAGGUGGGAAAGGUUGCUGGAAUGGGUGGUGGCUGCGGCAAGGAGGGGAUUUGGGUGAUGGUGAUUUUCUGAUUUGUGUAGAGGGAAUGAUGAUGUGCGGCUAGGGUUUAGAAAUAUAUAUAUAGGCAUUUAAAAACCCUAGCAAAUCAGAUUAGGGCCUCUAAAACACAAAUCCAUCAGAAAUUAGGUUGAAACAAUUAGACAUUUAGUGGGAAAAAGGGCCUAGGGUGCGGCUGGUAUGUGGGCUAAGGUUAGGGUUUCUAGAAACCCUAACAAGGCAAGGCAAAGUGAUUCUAGAGGGCCCAGGUGCGGCAUAGGAUGAAGGUCCAUAAGGAAUUUGGGUUUAGGUCAUCUAAAAGCCCAAAGCCAAGAAUAGAAACUCACGAAAAUGGAAACCUCCAAGAAUAGAAACUUCCAACUUUUAGAAACUUGGGUUGCCAAUUCCGGUUUAGGAAAGAUCAACCCAAAAUGGAAACUUUUAGGCUUAGCUUUCCUACAUCAAGUAGGAAACCUCAAAUCUUCAACUCUUCAAUUCCAUCCCAACCUUGUGUUCCAAGCAUGUCCUUUUCAAUCCAAGCUCACUUUCUUGCUCCAAAAGCUCCAACUUGCAUCAUUUCAUGUAAUACGUCCUUUAACCUGAAAACACAUGAAAGUAGCUUAAAAGACUACUUUAACGAAGAAAACAUAACAAAAAUGCAUAAGAACUAGCUAACUAAGGCGCAUAAAUAUGCUCCUAUCAAAUGCCGUGGUCUUCUCUUUGUAAAUUCGAGCAUUCUCAUAAGCUUCAUGCCUAAUCUCUUCAAGUUCACUCAAUUGAAGCUUUCUAUGAAUUCCAGCUUGGUCCACAUUCAAAUUGAAUGUCUUGAUAACCCAAUGUGCCUUGUGUUCUAAUUCCACGGGAAGAUGACAUGGUUUGCCAUAAAUGAGCCGAAAUGGAGACAUACCAAUGGGUGUUUUUAAGCCGUACGAUACGCCCGUAGUGCAUCAUCUAAAUGCAAGCUCCAAUCUUUUCUAUUUGGCCCAACGGUCUUCUUCAAAAUCUGUUUGAUUUCCCUAUUUGAAACCUUGGCUUGGCCAUUUGUUUGGGGGUGAUAAGGCUUUGAAACUUUAUGCGUCACAUUAUACUUCUUAAGUAGCGCCUCAAUGGUGUGAUUGCAAAAAUGAGACCCCCCAUCACUUAUGAGCACCCUAGGCAUCCCAAAUCUGGAAAAGAUGUUAGAUUUCACAAACUCUGCAACAACUUUAGAAUCGUUAGUUCGGGUGGCUUUUGCUUCCACCCACUUCGAAACAUAAUCAACCGCAAGUAAACCAAAAGAUGAAGGAAAAGAACCCAUAAAAUCGAUACCCCAAACAUCAAAAAUUUUAACAAGGAUGGGAACCUGCGACAUUUGGUCUUUUUGGCCUAUAUUUCCUGUCCUUUGGCAACGAUCACAUGUUAAGCAAAAGGUUCUAGCAUUUUUAAACAAAGUAGGCCAAUAAAAUCCACAUUCAAGAACCUUAAAAGCUGUCCUUUGGGUGCCAAAAUGACCCCCACAUGCAUAGGUGUGGCAGAAACUUAAAAUUGAAUGAAAUUCGGACUCAUGCACACACCUACGUAGAAUCUGAUAUGGGCAAUAUUUCCACAAGUAUAGGUUAACCCAAACAUAAAAUCUGGCAUCCUUUUUAAGUUUAUCACGUUGGAACUUGUUAAGAGUGUUGGGAACUUGUUUAGACACCAAAUAAUUGACCAAAUCAGCAUACCAAGGCUCACUUACCUUAAUGGACAGUAGUUUCUCAUCUGGAAACAUUUCUGGAAUGGGAAUGGACUUCUCUUCACCCACCAAUCGACUUAAGUGAUCAGCCACCACGUUGUCACUCCCUUUCUUGUCUUUAAUUUCAAUAUCGAACUCUUCAAGAAGAAGCAUCAGACGAAUGAGUCUUGGUUUUGCUUCUUUAUUUGUGAACAAGUACUUCAAGGCUGCAUGAUCAGUGAAAAUAAUGACUUUAGUGCCAAUUAAAUAAGAUCGAAACUUAUCUAAUGCAAAUACAACAGCCAAUAGUUCUUUUUCAGUUGUGGAAUAGUUCAAUUGAGCAUCAUUUAAAGUACGGGAAGCAUAAUAAAUAACAUGUGGCUGCUUGUUUUUCCUUUGUCCUAAAACAGCUGAUGCGAAAUAUAUAAGCACACAAAUUAAACUCUCUUUUUGUCAAAUUGUAGCAAAGAUGUAAGUAGGGAUCGUUCUAGACCGGGGAUUAGGAGGGAUUGCUAAACACUUGGAAACUGACUAAAAAACUCAAAAACAAAGUUUAAAACACUAAACUAGACUCAAAGAAUGCAAAACUAAAGGUUAAAACACUUAAACAAACCUAAAACACAAAACAGCAACCUAAUGACUCAAAACUGCCUAAAAACCACUUGCUGGGCAGUUUUGAGAACCUAACAAGAACUUGGACGAAAUUGGGUGAAAACUUGAAUCGAAACACUUAGAAACACAAAUCAAAACACUUUCUAACUAAUCUAAGACUUCAAAAUAAAGGGGGAUUUGUUUUGGACGAAAAUUGAAAACAAAACAGAAACUUAAAACUAAACAGAUUGUAAAACGUUUUUGGAUGAAAAGGAUGGAUAAAAGGCUAGUUAGGAGGUUCUUCUCCACACAUGUCACACUUGCAAACGAAACGAUUUUCAGUUGUUCUUCCAAUAAAUUAUAAAUACUCAACGCUCCAAAUUAACCGUGAAUUGCACUAAUUAACCCUCAGUUUUUCCACAAGUUAUUAGGUUGGAUGAUUGCAUACGACAACCCAAAACAUUCCCUACAAGUUCCCUACAUGAAUUGCAUAAUAGAGAUACAAGCACGAAUCAUUACGUUCUAUGAAAAACAUAAGCAUUGACGAAGCAUUUGUUACUAUGAAUUGCAUGAAACUUAUGCUAAGAAUUCAUUCAACGUGAUCGUUUUCAAGCGACCUUCACUACUUGUGAUUAUAAGAUUGUAACUAUUAGGUGAAACUCCCUCAUAAUCUAGCAUCAUAUUCAUGCAUGAAAACUAAGCGUGCACUCUCAAUCAACAUACACAAAUGAGUUAUCAAUCAAAUAGAUGAACGAAUUGAAUCCAUAACUUAUGAAAUAACAACUGAAUGUAAUCAAAUCAUAUUGCAAGCAUGUACAUGGUUUCGAAUUACCCCCCAACUAAGGGGUUUAGUUCCUCAUACUCACAACACAAAGUUUAUUGAAUUGAAACAUCGAAGACAUAAGAAAGAUUACACCUAAAACGCCCAACAAUUCUACUUUGAAUUUCUGACUUCAAGCUCCUCUUUCUUCUUCUCCUUGCUGCGGCAGAGAGGUUUUAGGGUAUUUUUGGAUGUGAUUUUGGUUUUAGAAGGGAGUUAGGAUGGUAUGGUGGUGCGGCAAGGGGUAUGGAUGGUGUAUGGAGGUGUAGAAUGGUGGCUGGAGGUGUAGACUGGUUGCGGCAAGGAGUGGGGAGUGGCUGGUUUGGAUGGAGGAGUGGCGGCUAAGGGUGUAAGGAUGAUGGUGGCUGCGGCAAGGUGGGGAAAUAAGGUUGGAAUAAUUUCUGAAGUAUGGAGAGGUGAUGUGUGCGGCUAGGUGUAGAAAUAUAUAUAUAGGCACUUAAAAAUCCUAGCCAAUCAGAUUAGGGUUUCUAGAAACCCAAAUCCACCAGAAAAAUAGGUUAAACAAUCAGAAAUUUUGUGAGAAAAGGGCCUAAGGUGCGGCAAUUAAGUGGGCUAGGGUUAGGGCUUCUAGAAAGCCUUGCAAGGCAAGGAAAUAUGUGUUCUAGAAGGGGAAAGGUGCGGCUGGUUAGUGGGAAUGUGGAUAGGGCUUCUAAAAAGCCCAAAACCAAGAGAAACUAAGCCCUAACCCACGGCAAGGAUGACAAAAUAUUCUAACACCUUUCUUUGUGUCUUCCAACGCUUCGGAACCUUCUAAUGUUGCUCAAACGCAAGGCCAUUCCGGUUUAGGAAAGAUCAACCCAAAAUGGAAACUUUUAGGCUUAGCUUUCCUACUUCAAGUAGGAAACCUCAAAUCUUCAACUCUUCAAUUUCAUCCCAACCUUGUGUUCCAAGCAUGUCCUGAUGUGUAAAUUAACUAGCACUCAAAUUAAACCCUCUUUUUAUCAAUUGUAGCAAUGUAUGUAAGUAGGGAUCGUUCUAGACCGGGGAUUAGGAGGGAUUGCAAAAUCACUUGGACAUGACUCAAAAACGUAAAAACAAGUUUUAAACACUAAAAUAGACUCAAAGAAUACAAAACUAAACUUUAAAACACCAAAACAAACCAAAAGACUCAAAACAGCACCAAAACACUCAAAACUGCCUUAAAAACACAAUCUGGGCAGUUUUGGACACUAAGCACCAAAUUGGACGAAUUUGGGUUUUAACUUGAAUCAAAACACUUAAAAACACAAAGUAAAACACUUACUAACUAAUUUGACACUUUAAAACAAAGGGGGAUUGGUUUUGGCCGAAUUUAAAAACAAAACAAACUUUGUAAAUUAGAACAGAUUGUAAAAACGAAUUUGAUUUAAAUGGGUGAAUGGAAGGCUAGCUAAGGGGUUCAUCUCCCCACAUGUUAUACUUGCAUACGAAACGAUUUCCAAUUGCUUUUCAAUAAACCAUGAAUUCUCAAUGCCCCAAGUUAAUUAGGUCCGCUUAAAUUAACCUUCCGAUUUUCCUAACGGUAUUGAAUUGGAUGAUUGCAUACGACAACCCAAAACAUUCCCCACAAGUCCCCUACAUGAUUGCAUAAUAGAGAUACAAGCAAGAAUCAUUAAGUUCUAUGAAAACCAAAAGCAUUGACGAAGCACUUGUUACUAUGAUUGCAUGAAACUUAUGCCAAGAAUUUACUUAACGCGAUUGAGAUCAUCAACCUUUACUACUUGUGAAUAUAAUUCCAAACGAUUAGGUGAAAUUUCCUUAUAUCCUAGCAUUCAAUUUAUGCAUGAUAAUUAAGCGUGCACUCUCAACCAACACACACAAAUCAAUGUAAUCCACAUAGAUAAGUAAAUUGAAUUCACAACUUAUGAAACGCAAUUAGAAGUAAUCAAAUCAUAACGCAAGCAUAAACAUAUAUUUCGAAUCCCCCCCUAGCCAAGGGGGGGUUUAGUUCCUCAUACGCACAAAACAAAGAGAAUUGAAUUUAAACAUUGAAAUCAAAGGAAAAGAAACACCUAGAAAUUCCAGCGACGCGAACUUGAAUUGCAUGAACUUCCGAGCUUCCUUCUCCUCCUCCUUGGUGCGGCAAGGGUCUAGGGACAGGUUUUAGAGCCUUAGGGGUAUGGAUGCAUGGUUAUGGAGGGAUGUAGUAGUGUUUAGGGAAAGGGAAAUGGUUGCGGCAAAGGUGUGGAGAGGGUUUGGACGAAUUUCUGGAGUGAUUUGUGAAUUGUGGCGAGUGGUGAUCUGAUUUAGGGGUUAAUAGGAGUAUAUAUAGGCACUUAAAACCCUAGGGUAAUCAGAUAUGGACUUGGAUAACCCAAAUCCACAAGGAAAUAGGUCUAAACAAUCAAAUUUUGCAAGGGAAAAGGGGUCCUAGGUGCGGCAGGGAUAGGAUAAGGUGAUAAGGUUUCUAGAAUGCCUUGCAAGGCAAGGAACUAGGCAUCUAGAAGCUAGGGUGCGGCACCAAUGUAGGGAUUUAAGGAUAGGGCUUCUAGAAAGCCCCAAAACUGAUAGGAAUUGCAUGAAACCCACGGCAAAGAUGUAAACUUUCUAGAAACUUCUCAUUUGUGUCCUACAACACUUUGGAGUCCUUCUAGCACUAGGAAAACAUGUCUCAAUCCUCCCUUGACUUGGAAUUCUUCUCCUUCUUCAUCUUGGAUUCCUUUUCCUUCUUCAUCUUGGAAAACUUCUUUGUUGCUGAAACUUGAUGCCAUUUGGAUUUAACUUUCCUACUUCAAGUAGGAAACCUUGUUUGAGUAGGAAUCUUCAUCUUCAAGGAAUCCUAAUUCAACUAGGAAACCCAUUUUGACUAGGAAUCCUAAUUCAACUAGGAUUCCAUCUUCACUUAGGCGCUUUCCUACUUCGACUAGGAAACCUUGUUCAAGUAGGAAACAUCAUCUUCAAAUCUUCAAUUUCGUCCAUCCUCUUGGCUCCAAGCAUAUGACAUUCAUUCCAAGCUCAACUUUGCUCCAAAAGGCUCCAAAAUGCAUCAUUUUGCAUACUUUGCCCUUAGAACCUGAAAACACAUAAAACUACCUUAAAAGACUACUUUACUUAAGCAAAAACACUAUAAAUGUACAAGAACAAGCUAAACUAAGGCGCAUAAAUAUGCUCCUAUCAUCUGGGAAUGUCUCUAUGAUAGGCACGACAUCCUCCUCAUGCACCAUACGGCUUAGGUGGUCAGCCACCACGUUUUCACUUCCCUUCUUGUCCCGGAUUUCGAUAUCGAACUCUUGAAGAAGAAGCAUCCAACGAAUGGGUCGUGGUUUGGCCUCCUUCUUGGUGAACAAAUACUUCAAUGCUGCAUGGUCCGUAUAAAUAAUAACUUUAGUACCAAGCAAAUAAGAACGGAAUUUAUCUAAAGCAAGUACAACAGCAAGAAGUUCUUUUUCAGUGGUAGAAUAAUUCAAUUGUGCAUCAUUUAAAGUCCGAGAGGCAUAAUAGAUAACAUGCGGCCUCUUGUCCUUCCUUUGCCCCAAAACAGCUCCUGAUGCAUAAUCGGAAGCAUCGAACAUAAGCUCAAAAGGAAGGCUCCAAUCCGGUGGAACUAUGAUAGGUGCCGAAGUUAGCAUGUCCUUGAGGUGAUUGAACGCCUUCUCACACUCCUUGUUGAAGAUGCCACAUCUUUCUGGAGGAGACGGCAAAGAGGGUUUGAGAUCUUGGAGAAGUCCUUGAUAAAUCGCCUAUAAAAUCCUGCAUGACCAAGAAACGAACGAACCUCUCGAACCGAAGUAGGAGAGGGUAAGUAGCGUACAAGAUCUAUUUUCGAUUUAUCCACUUCAAUUCCUCUUUCUGAAACAAUAUGCCCUAGAACUAUGCCUUGUCUAACCAUAAAGUGACAUUUUUCCCAAUUAAGCACAAGGUUAGUUUCUACACAUCGUUUCAAAAUUAUUGUGAGAUUUUCCAAACAUCCAUCAAAUGAAUCACCAAACACACUGAAAUCAUCCAUAAAUACCUCAAUAAUCUUUUCCACAAAAUCUGAAAAGAUACUUACCAUACACCUUUGAAAUGUGGCCAGAGCAUUGCAUAACCCAAAAGGCAUGCGACGAUAAGCAAAGGUACCAAAGGGGCAUGUGAAAGUUGUCUUUUCUUGGUCAUCCGGCGCUAUGACAAUCUGAUUAUAUCCAGAAUAACCAUCAAGGAAACAAUAAAAAGAAUGACCGGCUAACCUUUCAAGCAUUUGAUCAAUGAACGGCAAAGGGAAGUGGUCCUUCCUUGUGGUGGCGUUGAGCUUCCUAUAAUCAAUGCACACUCGCCAACCUGUUUGGAUGCGGGUUGGCACAAGCUCAUUCUCGGCAUUCUUCACCACUGUCACUCCGGACUUCUUUGGAACACAUUGCACCGGUGACACCCAACGACUAUCAGAGAUCGGAUAAAUCACUCCACAAUCAAGAAGUUUGAUAAUCUCCUUUUUCACAACUUCCAUCAUUGGAGGGUUGAGACGGCACUGAGCCUCUCGAGUUGGUUUAGCCCCCUCCUCUAGAAGUAUGCGAUGCAUGCACGUAGUCGGGCUAAUUCCCCUAAUAUCGGCCAAAGUCCACCCAAUGGCCGUCUUGUGCUCUUUCAACACUCGGAUCAACUUCUCCUCCUCUAGGGCCGUGAGUGAUGAGGAGACAAUGACGGGCAAUGUCUCGUUGUCUACCAGAAAGACAUACUUUAAAUGAUCGGGCAACGGUUUAAGCUCAAGUACGGGUGCCUGAAUCACUGAGGGUAACAACUUAUUAGUGGAAACUGGAAUUGAAAUUGGGUUAGAAGGCUUACCAUGGUGUUGAGGUAGUGACUCAAGGGCAGCCACUAUCUCGGCCUCCUCCUCACUUCUAGGCACGGGGAUUAGGAGGGAUUGCUAAACACUUGGAAACUGACUUAAAAACUCAAAAACAAAGUUUAAAACACUAAACUAGACUCAAAGAAUGCAAAACUAAAGGUUAAAACACUUAAACAAACCUAAAACUCAAAACAGCAACCUAAUGACUCAAAACUGCCUAAAAACCACUUUCUGGGCAGUUUUGAGAAACCUAACAAGAACUUGGACGAAAUUGGGUGAAAACUUGAAUCAAAACACUUAGAAACACAAAUCAAAACACUUUCUAACUAAUCUAAGACUUCAAAAUAAAGGGGGAUUGUUUUUGGACGAAAAUUGAAAACAAAAACAGAAACUUAAAACUAAACAGAUUGUAAAAACGUUUUUUGGAUGAAAAGGAUGGAUAAAAGGCUAGUAAGGGUCCAAAACAAUGAAUUUGACCCUAAGGAGUUGUUUAAGUCUCCCCCUUGUGUUUUAAAGUUAAUUUCUGCAAUCUAAGUGAAUUCUAAGUCUCAAUUUCAUUGCUUUGCUUACUAUUGCUUGAAGAACGUUUGUUUUCCUUAUCCUUUCCUUGUUAACCAACACCCCAAGCCCCAUUACAACCCUUAACUUCUAUCUUGAGUGUUAUGUGUUUCAAUUUGUGGAGUUUGAAUUUGGUAUGAGCAUAUGGUGUCACUGGUUCUCGCAUCUAAGUAGUAGCAUUCCAUUCAUGAGAUCAUAUCUAAACAUGCGUCUUAACUCCAGAAAUUGCGUUCGUUGUGAUACAUAUAUGUGAGCAUUCGUUUUCAUAUCUACAUCAAUCUUCUCACAUAUGACUAGUGUAGGGUGUGGAGUUAGAAAAUCUGAGUGAAAAUAGAGUGUAUAUCUUGUAAGGAAUUGAGGGAAUUCUCUAAGGCAUGUUACUACAUUCAAAGCAUUGUUUUAAUUGAUUACUUGUGAACUAGUGAGUAGUGGCUUUAAUUAAGUAUAUGCUUGUGUAAAGAUGACUCAAAUCUGUGGGGAUAACAACCUUUAACAUGUCAUGUGCAUUGGAAAUCCCUGAGGCAAACGUUGGAAGGUUUAGGUUUUGUUUUGGUUAGUUUGUUUCGUUUUGUUUUCUUUCUUUUGUUUGUUUUGCUCGAGGACUAGCAAAAGCUAAGUGUGGGGGAAUUUGAUAGGAGCAUAUUUAUGCGCCUUAGUUAGCUAGUUCUUAUGCAUUUUUGUUAUGUUUUCUUUGUUAAAGUAGUCUUUUAAGCUACUUUCUUGUGUUUUCAGGUUUAGCGGACGUAUUACAUGAAAUGAUACAAUUUGGAGCUUUUGGAGCAAAAAGUGAGCUUGAAUUGAAAAGGACAUGCUUGGAACGCAAGGUUGGGAUGGAAUUGAAGAGUUGAAGAUUUGAGGUUUCCUACUUGAAGUAGGAAAGCUAAGCCUAAAAGUUUCCAUUUUGGGUCGAUCUUUCCUAAAUCGGAAUUGGCAACCAAAGUUUCUAAAAGUUGGAAGUUUCUAUUCUUGGAGGUUUCCAUUUUCGAGAGUUUCUAUUCUUGGCGUUGGGCUUUUAGAUGACCUAAACCCAAAUUUCCUUGUGGACCUUCAACCCAUGCCGAACCCUAGGGCCUAAUCAUCUAAAAUCUGCCAUGUUAAACCCUAGUCCAUUUCUCCUAAACCCAAGCCGCACCUUUCCACCUAGAAGCCCUAUUUUACAAACCCUAAACCCUAGUCCACUUAAGUGCCGCACCUAACCCUAGCCCAUUGUUAAAAAUCUGAUUUCAUUAGGGUUUCUAAGUGCCUAUAUAUACCACCCUUACACCCUAGCCGCAGAUAUCAUUCCCUCUACACAAAAUCAGAAAAUCACCAUCACCCUAAUCCCCUCCUUGCCGCAGCCACCACCCAUUCCAGCAACCUUUCCCACCUUUUGCCGCAGCUUCCAUCCAUUCCAGCACCAUUCCACACAUCCAUACACCAUUCUCCACCUCCAUAAACCAUUCCCACACCUUGCCGCACCACCAUACUAUCCUAUCUACCUUUCAAAAACCCAAAAACACAUCCAGAAAACUCCAUUCACGCCAGAACCUGUCCCUCACCUUUGCCGAGCCCAACCUUCACCCAACUCCAUAUUUUCUGACCCCAAACCUUCCUAGCCGUGCCCUACACCCAUCCUAGACAUUUUUCCACCAUUCUCCCUCGUCCAAAAAUCAUCCAAAACUACCCAAAAAUCCCCUAAACCCUCUCUGCCGCAGCAAGGAGAAGAAGAAAGAGGAGCUUGCUGUGCAGAAUUCAAAGUGGAAUUCUUUGGCAUUUUAGGUGUAAUCUUUCUUAUGUCUUCGAUGUUUCAAUUCAAUAAACUUUGUGUUGUGAGUAUGAGGAACUAAACCCCCUUAGUUGGGGGGUGAUUCGAAACCAUGUACAUGCUUGCAAUUUGAUUCGAUUAACAUUCAGUUGUUAUUUCAUAAGUUAUGGAUUCAAUUCGUUCAUCUAUUUGAUUGAUAACUUAUUUGUGUAUGUUGAUUGAGAGUGCACGCUUAGUUUUCAUGCAUGAAUAUGAUGCUAGAUUAUGAGGGAGUUUCACCUAAUAGUUACAAUCUUAUAAUCACAAGUAGUGAAGAUCGCUUGAAAACGAUCGCGUUGAAUGAAUUCUUAGCAUAAGUUUCAUGCAAUUCAUAGUAACAAAUGCUUCGUCAAUGCUUAUGUUUUUCAUAGAACGUAAUGAUUCUUGCUUGUAUCUCUAUUAUGCAAUUCAUGUAGGGAACUUGUAGGGAAUGUUUUGGGUUGUCGUAUGCAAUCAUCCAACUUAAUAACUUGUGGAAAAACUGAGGGUUAAUUAGUGCAAUUCACGGUUAACUUGGGGCGUUGAGUAUUCAUAGUUUAUCGGAAGAACAACUGAAAAUCGUUUUGUUUGCAAGUGUGACAUGUGUGGAGAAGAACCUCCUAACUAGCCUUUUAACCAUCUAUUUCACCAAAAUCGUUUUUACAAUCUGCCCUAUUCCAAUCUGUUUUCUUUAGUUUAAUUUUCGUCAAAACAAAAUCCCCCUUUAAUUUGAAGUCUUAGAUUAGUUAGAAAGUGUUUUGAUUUGUGUUUCUAAGUAUUUUGAUUCAAGUUUUCAUCAAAUUUCGUCCAAAUUAGUGUAGGUGCUCAAAACUGCCCAGAAAGUGGUUUUUAGGCAGUUUUGAGCCUUCUAGUUGCUGUUUUGGUUUUUAGGUUUGUUUAAGUGUUUUAACUUUUAGUUUUGCAUUCUUUGAGUCUAGUUUAGUGUUUUUAACUUUGAUUUUGAGUGUUUAAGUCAGUUUCCAAGCGUUUAGCAAUCCCUCCUAAUCCCCGGUCUAGAACGAUCCCUACUUACAUCUUUGCUACAAUUUGACAAAAAGAGGGUUUAAUUUGUGUGUCAAGUUAAUUUUCACAUCAGUGGGGAAAUAGGGUUGGAUGAAUUUCUGAAUUGUGUAGCAAUGAUAUCCCCGCGGCAAGGAUGUAAAACACAUAUAUAUAGGCACCUAAAACCCUAAAGAAAUCAGAUUAGACUAUGGGCUAGGGUUUAGGUGCGGCAAAGGGCUUAAAGUCCAUCAGAAAAUAGGGUUUCUAGAACAUUAGGUGCGGCCCAAACCCUAGGGGAGAUAGAUUAGGGUUUAACUUGGCAGAAAUUAGGUGAUUAGGCCCUAGGGUGCGGCAUAGGCUUAGGAUCCACAAGGAAUUAGGGUUUAGAUCAUCUCAAAGCCCAAAGCUAAGAAUAGAAACUCACGAAAAUGGAAACCUCCAAGAAUAGGAACUUCCAACUUUAGAAACUUUGGUUGCCAAUUCCGACUUCUUUGUUCUUCACUUUUAUUUCUUCAUUUCUUAAGCUCCUUUGACCUUCAAACUCGUCCAUUCCUCGUGCUCCAUUAGCAUACACAACAUUCCGGCUCAAUUUUGCUCCAAAAAGCUCCAAAUUGCAUCAUUUCAUGUAAUAUGUCCUUUAAACCUGAAAACACAUGAAAGUAGCUUAAAAGACUACUUUAACGAAGAGAACAUAACGAAAAUGCAUAAAAACUAGCUAACUAAGGCGCAUAAAUAUGCUCCUAUCAAAUUCCCCCACACUUAGCUUUUGCUAGUCCUCGAGCAAAACAAAGAAACAAAAGAAAAACAAAAUGAAACAAAACAAACAAAACACAACCUAAACCUUCCAACGUUUGCCUCAGGGAUUUCCAAUGCACAUGACGUAUUAAAGAUUGUUAUCCCCACAGAUUUGAGUCAUCUUUACACAAGCACAUACUUAAUUAAAGCCACUACUCACUAGUUCACAAGUAAUCAAUUAAAACAAUGCUUUGAAUGUAGUAACAUGCCUUAGAGAAUUCCCUCAAUUCCUUACAAGAUAUACACUCUAUUUUCACUCAGAUUUUCUAACUCCACACCCUACACUAGUCAUAUGUGAGAAGAUUGAUGUAGAUAUGAAAACGAAUGCUCACAUAUAUGUUUCACAAAGAACGCAAUUUCUAGAGUUAAGAAGCAUGUUUAGAUAUGAUCUCAUGAAUGGAAUGCUACUACUUAGAUGCGAGAACCAGUGACACCAUAUGCUCAUACCAAAUUCAAACUCCACAAAUUGAAACACAUAACACUCAAGAUAGAAGUUAAGGGUUGUAACGGGGCUUGGGGUGUUGGUUAACAAGGAAAGGAUAGGGAAAACAAACGUUCUUCAAGCAAUAGUAAGCAAAGCAAUGAAAUUGAGACUUAGAAUUCACUUAGAUUGCAGAAAUUAACUUUAAAACACAAGGGGAAGACUUAAACAACUCCUUAGGGCCGAAUUCAUUGUUUUGGACCCUUACUUCAACAAACAAUACUUUGGAACUCUUUUUCUCAACUUUUCAACUCUUUUUUUUCAAACUUUUCAUAUUUUUUUCUUCAAUUUUUCUUUUUCCACGAAACUUUUUUUCUUUUCUUUUCUUUGCCGUGCCUAUGGCACACAAUUCCUCAUGAAAAACACUUCCCCCACACUUAUUUUCUGCUAACAUAGAUCAAAAGGAAUUCAAUUUGAAUCAUGCUUUACUAUGCUUUAAGAACAAGGGUAUGGAUAGUCCUAAUCUAGGCUAGGUGAGGAUAAUGUGGGUUAACAAAGAAAAGGCUAAACAAGGCUCAACGGGGUUAAACUUAAACAUAUAAUGGAGUAGGGCACACGGCUUUUUGGCUAAGGUGGUGGUCACUACACAACUUCAUCUUGAAUAUGUGUUAUGCAAUUCAAUAACAUGCUUUGAAUGAAAUGGGCAUGAGUUCUAGCAUUUGGAACUAAAUGAUGAAACGCCUUCUAAGUAGUAACCAAGCAAAGAAUAAUGAGAUCAUGCAACGACUUUAGAAAACAAAGAAUGCACAGAUUUUAACUCUCCAAAUAAACGUUUAGGCUCAAGUCUCACAAGGUUGUAGCGUUAGUUUGAGUUCCUUCCUUCAAGCAUGUUACAAAAAAACUGAUUUUUUUUUCUUUAUGAUUGCAUGUGAAUUCAUAAGUUAUAACCACAACCAAGCAUAAACAAAGAGUAAAUCAAACUUUCAUCCAUGUUAAUCACUCUCUUUAACAGUCAUGCAAUUACAAACCGAAUCCUCAUCAUUGUGUUGGAAGGUACCCUAAGACACAAACAAACACACAAAAACAACUCUUUUUGGGUUUUUUAAAACAAAUUUUUCAAAUUUUUUAUGUGAUUUUUCGGAUUUUUACUCAAAACACAUUAAAACACACCAAAACUGCUCAAAAACACUUAAAAACAGCAAGGAACAAGUCUCCAAGUUAAGGGUGAUAAAAUCCCACGAAUUUGCAUCUAAAACACUUAGUUACCCCCCCCACACUUAAAUCAAACAUUGUCCUCAAUGUUUCAAGCAUAAAACCACACUAAACAAAAAGAAACACACAAACAGCAACUAAAA
rnacentral:lncRNA from 1 species